CGAAGGUUCACCUGAAGAUGAAAGAGCAAUAUAGUUUUGAGACUUCUACUUCGAUAAUUUAAACUACUGACUUGCAUUAUAACCUGGGCUGCAAUUAAAAUCACCUGGAAGCUUUAGUCAGCUGCUUUUAUCUAAGUCCUAUCUCAGGCCAACAAAAUAUAAAUUUCCGGAGAUAGAGGAAAGCAUGAAUCUUCUUUGAAAUCUCUGCAGAUCAUUACGUUGUUCUACUAAAGGGUGAUAUUAGGACUUCGUGGUUGUUUGCACAGUUCUAGUUAAGGAUGACAAACUCGAACAUGUUGAUGAAUAAAAAUGUCUUCUCCAUGCCUAAGGAGCCAAAGGAAACCUGUAAAUGCUGAACUGUAAAGAAUGCCAGGGAAGGGCACCACACAAUUUUGGCCCUCCAGUAAAAUUAUAUAUGAACACAAGCGCAUUUCUCUAAUACAGGGAAAUGUGCAAAGCCAUUGCAAGAAGACAAGAGGGUGGUGCAGUCUGAUACUGCAGAUGUAGAGAAUGGCCCUUGAUACCAAGCAUCCUUGGUGCCUAAGUGUGACAGGCACAAUCCUUCCCCCCAAAGACAUCUAUGCUUUAAUCUCUGGAGCAUGUGAGUAUGUCACCUUACAUGGAAAAAGGGACUUUGCAGGUGUGAUUAGGGUUAAGAACCUUAAAAGGGGGAGAUUAUCCUAGAUUAUGUUUAAGUGGACGUGACCUAAUUAUGUGAGUCCUUAACAGUGGAAGAAGCAGGCAGAAGAGUAGGUCAGAGAGAUGCGACGCGAGAAGGACUUGACCACCAUGGCUGGCUUUGAAGAUGGAAGACAAUGAUCAUGAGUCAAGUAAUGUGGUGUUUCUAGAAUCUGGAAAUGACCUUCAGUUUACAGGCAGCAAGAAAACAUGGACCUUGGUUCUACAAUGACAAAGACCUGAAUUCUGCCAACAGCCCCAAGGAGUAGGAAAGAGAUCCUCCCCUGGAACCUCCAGGAAGGAAUGCAGCCCACUGAGACCUGGUGAGACCUGUACCAGACUUCAACCUACAGCACUGUAAGAUGAUAAAUUUGUGUUGUGUUAAGCCACUGUUUAUGGUACUUUGUUGCUGUAGCAGUAGAAAACUAAUGCACCAAGUAACAAAUAACAUCAGGAAAACACAUUAGAAGAAUAUAAUGGAAAUAAAUUAUAGCAAGCAUUUAUAUAGCCAGAGACUAGCUUUCUGAAACCCUAGAAGCAAAUGCAGCUUGUAUUCUCCCAUGUUUUCUUGAGAAGGCCUAUGUAAUAUGGAUGCUCCAUGCACAUCCAUUGAUAGUUUUCAAGCACAGGCCGCAGGACUUACUGGGAGAGUGUUUUCCAUGGAGGGCUUGUGGCUAACAACUACUUUUGUGCAUAUUCUC
rnacentral:lncRNA from 1 species